AUGGACCGGUGCAGGAUCUGGUGGCCGCGCCAGCAACAUCAGUCUGAAUUGGAGUCCGUCUCUACCAGAUAUCUCCUGUUCGGAUGGCUCUUCCCCCAUGCGGGAUCAGUCGACAUUGUUGUCGCGGCGUUCGUCUCCGAGGGAGAGAUCUUGCGGUCUUUCCCCAACCUCGACACCUUCCAGACUGCUAUCUUUUCCUCAAAUAAAAGGAUGCCAACAGUGCUACAAGAAUCUGCAGCAUUUACCAUCCUUGGGGAUUGUGUUGUACAUCUUCCAAGAGAUUUUGAAGGCUGCUGUGUUAAGCAAAAAUAUCAGCCGUUGCGGGCUCAAGUUGUUCAGACACAGCAUUCUGACACAAAGCAAGACUGUUCUAUUGCAUUUAAUGGACCAUUGGGAAUUGAAGAUCAAGACCAAAGUGAGAGUAAUGGAGAAUGGGAAUGUGAUUGUAGUGUAUUAGACGGUUUUCUGGAUACUUACAAGAAGUCAGUAGUGAAAGGUGGUGACUGGGUGCACUUCUGCUGUAAGCUUGACAAGAGCUUGAAAUGCAAUCUGAAUCAAAUUCCAGUGCUUCACCAUUUGCAUCUUGAUGACCAGAAGGCUGAAAUUAAUCAUUGCCACGUCAUACUUUAUGAUAUUCCUGUUGCUGGUAGAAACCAUUUCUCGCUGGGUGAGGAUGCACCUUAUAGGAUGAAGUCUCCCUUCAAAAAGCCAAAUUGGAUAAAUAAUCUGCAAAAGAGAAGGCCAUUUCUUGAUUUGGAUCCGAUUGUGUUGGCGCUUAAUUGUUCAAAUUCAGCUAGAUUGUCAGUUGCUUGGAAAACUACUAAUAACAGUUCUGCGGCUCAUUUCUUGUUUGCAACUGUGUUUGAUGCCUUAGUUCAAGUGGUACAACAUUUGACAGGAAUAAUUUUAGCUUCAGUAUCGACUAUUAUCUACAUCUUCAUUCAACUGUUCCGAAAAUGUUUGAGCCAUGUCUCUGAGCACUUUAUAUUACAAAAGGUUUUCAGACACUCAUGGAAAAACAUGCAUCUCCGUUGUUCCCAAAUUCUCUAUUGGCCGAUUUUCCUCCAAGAUACUUCCCUAAGCUCCUCUGUUAAUGUCGAAUAUGCACACAGAGCUGCAAUCCAGAAGCAUGCUUUAUGGUCAAAUAUUAUCAUGGAUCUUCUGAUGGGUUUCAUCCUUGGAGCAGCACUAUUGUUGAACAUGGAGACUAUUUGCUCUUGGAUUUUUGCUCUUCUUCACUACAUGACAGAUGCUGUCUUGAGAUCUGGUUGUGUGUGGCUGAUGGGUGUUCCAGCAGGCUUUAAGCUGAAUACUGAGUUAGCAGAGCUUCUAGGCAUGAUUUCUCUGAAUGCAAUCCAAAUAUAUUCUACCCUUUGGUUCAUGGUGGGAGGCUUCCUUAGGCAUAUAAUUCAAGGCCUUGCAUUUUCUGGAAUUCUUUUAGGCUUCACGGUUCCUGUUUCAGUCUUCAUUGACAUUAUCCAGCUUGCGACGUUGCAUGUUACCAUGCUUCAGUGGUUAAUCUCCUUAAUAUAUUCAAGGCAGAUUCAGACAGUGACAUCAUUGUGGCGUCUUUUCAGAGGGCGCAAGUGGAAUCCUCUUAGGCAGAGAUUAGAUAGCUAUGACUACACGGUUGAACAACAUGUGGUUGGUUCACUGUUGUUUACACCAGUCUUGCUUCUUCUACCCACAGCUUCUAUAUUCUACAUAUUUUUCUCUAUCUUGAGCAGCACAAUCAUCUGUUUGUGUAUAGUGUUGGAAACUGCAAUUUGUAUAAUCCACUCCACUCCUUACGCUGCGGUAAUUCUAUGGGUGACGAGGAGGCAAAGGUUUCCUGCUGGAUUAAUGUUCCUUCCUAUGUCAUCGUCAUCUGUAUCUACUGAUGAUGAUGCUCUAUCAGUUGAAUAUCAUUCAACCAGUUUAUCUGGCGAAAGGAAAACAGAUGAACCCAUCCAUGUACAUUCAGUACCACUAGUUUCAGAACUUAACUGUAACUAUAACACCCUCGGACAAGUAAUCGGGCCACAUUACCAGAAAGUUUUCAACGGGAUUGCUCUCCCCUUCUGCAAACAACUGGCACAUGGAAUCCUUAGGGGCACAAGGAUACCUACAACGCUGCAUCUGCCGUCGUCUCCACUGCCCUGGAUGCAUAUUGGCAUUAGAGAAUACUGGAUGCUUUGCCGUCGCGCAACCAAGUGGGGAAGGAAUUAA
rnacentral:rRNA from 1 species